AGCGCAUUGAGAUGGCGAUAAAGCGCGGAGGUGUUGAUUCACUUGAUUACCUAUGCUGAUAUAAAAAUGCGACUUUGUAGCCGUACGACGACAAAGGACAGUUGGAGUUCUGAUAAAUUGAAAUCUGCCCUCGUAGCAGUUUCUGAAGGAACGCAUAUCGGGAAAAGUGCCAAAAAUGUUUGGAAUCCCAGAAAGUACAUUGCGAAGAAGAAUGAAAGCAAAUAAUGUAUCUAAAGCAGUGCUGGGCAGAAGGUGCUAUUUUUCUGUCGAACAAGAAAGACAUGUCGCAGAGCGCAUUUUAAAGAUGUGUAAUAUUUUUUACGGAGUCACACCUGAACAAUGUAGAAAAAUGGCAUUCGAACUGGCAGAAAGAAACAACAUCAAGAAUCAAUUCAAUCAAAACUGGAGGAUUGCUGGCAAAGCGUGGUUAGAAGGUUUUUUUGAAACGUAAUCCAUCUGUUACCACAAGAAAGCCUGAAGCAUUAAGUAUAGGUAGAUACGAGGCUUCAAUAAAGUCGAAGUAUUGAGAUUCUACACAAAUCUGCAGCAACUUAUGGAUACUUAUCACUUCCCAGCGAGUAGAAUAUUUAAUAUGGAUGAAACUGGUAUUUCAACGGUUCAGGAAACUGACAGAGUUGGCUCCGAAGGGACAAAAACAUGUUGCUUCUAUCACAUCAGGAGAAAGAGGGAGAACUACAAUGGUUAUUUGUGCAAUGAGUGCAAGUGGAAUCUAUAUACAGCCUAUGUUCAUUUUUUGUAAACAAAGAAUUUUCUACGUAUAUGGAAGACAUGCACCUGAAGGAUCUAUAAUAAAAUGCACUCGAAAUGGCUGGACUAAUGAAGAGAUGUUUAUGAUUUGGCUACAACAUUUCGCUUAUUGUGUUAAUCAACAAAGGAGAAUCCAGUGUUGUUGGUGUUGGAUAAUCAUAAUAGUCACAUUUCAUUGUCAACUUACAGUUUUUGUACGUAUAAUUACAUACAUAUGCUUUCAUUACCUCCGCAUACCAGUCAUCGAAUGCAACCUCUAGACGUAAGUUUCUUUGGACCUCUUAAGCGAGCAUAUUAUCGAGAAGCCAAUUUGUUUAUCAAAUCAAAAAACUUGACGAAAAUACAACCUUCUGAUUUGCCAGAACUUUUUGGAAAAGCUUAUAACAGAAUUGCUUCUAUCAAUAAAGCUGUAAAUGGGUUUAAAGCAUCUGGUAUUUAUCCCAUUGAUCCAUGUGUUUUCGAAGAUUCAAUGAUUAAAGAUAAAGGCGGAGAAAAUUCAAGAAAUCGUCUAAAAAAGGAACUAAGAGAAAAAAAAAGCAGAGAAAGAAGAAGAAAUUCACAAAAAAAGAGAGAUGA